CGGCGGACGGGUGAGUAAUGCCUAGGAAUCUGCCUAGUGGUGGGGGAUAACGUUCGGAAACGGACGCUAAUACCGCAUACGUCCUACGGGAGAAAGCGGGGGACCUUCGGGCCUCGCGCCAUUAGAUGAGCCUAGGUCGGAUUAGCUAGUUGGUGAGGUAACGGCUCACCAAGGCGACGAUCCGUAACUGGUCUGAGAGGAUGAUCAGUCACACUGGAACUGAGACACGGUCCAGACACCUACGGGAGGCAGCAGUGGGGAAUAUUGGACAAUGGGCGAAAGCCUGAUCCAGCCAUGCCGCGUGUGUGAAGAAGGUCUUCGGAUUGUAAAGCACUUUAAGUUGGGAGGAAGGGUAGUAACUUAAUACGUUGCUAUUUUGACGUUACCGACAGAAUAAGCACCGGCUAACUCUGUGCCAGCAGCCGCGGUAAUACAGAGGGUGCAAGCGUUAAUCGGAAUUACUGGGCGUAAAGCGCGCGUAGGUGGUUUGUUAAGUUGGAUGUGAAAGCCCCGGGCUCAACCUGGGAACUGCAUCCAAAACUGGCAAGCUAGAGUACGGUAGAGGGUGGUGGAAUUUCCUGUGUAGCGGUGAAAUGCGUAGAUAUAGGAAGGAACACCAGUGGCGAAGGCGACCACCUGGACUGAUACUGACACUGAGGUGCGAAAGCGUGGGGAGCAAACAGGAUUAGAUACCCUGGUAGUCCACGCCGUAAACGAUGUCAACUAGCCGUUGGGAGUCUUGAACUCUUAGUGGCGCAGCUUAACGCAUUAAGUUGACCGCCUGGGGAGUACGGCCGCAAGGGUUAAAACUCAAAUGAAUUGACGGGGGCCCGCACAAGCGGUGGGAGCAUGUGGGUUU
rnacentral:rRNA from 1 species